AAGGCAAGUGCAGAAGCAGGACACCCCACCUUUGUAUUGAUCAGAGAGACCACUCUUUCUCAUCCUGAAAAGUCUAAGCUUAUUGAGAGCUUCAAAACCUACGGAGCUACUCUUCUUUAUGGUGAUCUAAGUGAUUAUGACAGCCUUGUUAGGGCAAUCAAGCAAGUUGAUGUUGUAAUAUCUACACUAGGGGGACAACAGAUAGACGAUCAAGUUAAGGUCAUAGCAGCAAUAAAAGAAGCUGGAAACAUCAAG